CACUAUAAAGUUGGUCUAAAUGCGCUUUUUCUCUAUCCGAGUUAUUUCCCUUGUUGGAGCUCUUCGGCAUUGAAGAAUACAAAAUGUGUAAAUUGUAAACAAGAUGGCAGACAAUGAAAUCUGCAGUUUUUCUUCUUGUUUUGAAACAUCUUGUUCAGGAAAAUUCUACCUCAAGAGACUCAGAAUUUGAUGAAAAACAGUUGACAAAGUUGGGAUAAUCUUUAAGAAAAGCCAAAGGGUUGAUCUGGACAUGAUGAGUAUCACACGUAUAGCUACUCGUAGAAAAGAAAAUAUGAGGAAAUCAGGGUGGUAUGGGGCGAAGGCCGAGAGGAUGUUAGCUGUUCCCUUCAAGACGUCUUUGAAAUAGAGAUCGAGAGAUACAUGUAGUGGUGUGGUAGUCCCCGACCGAUCCCGAUUGCAAUGUCCCUUGCAAGAUUUUCCUAAUGAAGAUUCUCAGGAUUACAGAUCCUCUAGCAAGGAGACCACACAGGUACAUGUAUUGUGUAUUAAGUUGCAUGGAUUCAUGGUGACUUAAGACAUGAUUGCCACAACAAUGCAUAAAGGGAGAUAAUAAUGUUUAUAGGUUGAAAAUGUAUAUGUUUUAUAUAUUGCAAAAUUUUAAGAUUCCAGUUUUAAGUUUUUGAAACAAUUUUUAAAUGAAUUUUUAUCCAAAGUGACCAAAAAUUAAUGUUAUUUUUUUUUUAUUUUCAUGUGAAAUGACCAGAGCAGAGGACAGCCCCCCCCCCCCCAAAAAAAAAUCACAGUGGACUGGAAGUAAAUUUUACAUGAAAAAUACAAAGUAGGAAAAGUAACAGAAAGAAAA